UGAGCAAUCUGCCCUUCUCAUCGGAAUAAGCGUUGGAAACGACGUCUAAUGCCGAAUACGACCUCCUUUCGCAUGAUCGGAGGUGGAAAGCUCCGGCGGAGAAGGAUGAGCUCGCGGCCUAUCAGCUAGUUGGUGUGGGUAACGGCCCACCAAGGCGACGACGGGUAGCCGG
rnacentral:rRNA from 1 species